UACGAAGGGUGCAAGCGUUACUCGGAAUUACUGGGCGUAAAGCGUGCGUAGGUGGUUUGUUAAGUCUGUUGUGAAAGCCCCCGGCUCAACUGGGGAGGGUCAUUCGAUACUGAUCAACUUGAAGGCAGGAGAGAGAAGUGGAAUUCCCGGUGUAGUGGUGAAAUGCGUAGAUAUCGGGAGGAACACCAGUGGCGAAGGCGACUUCUUGGCCUGUUCUUGACGCUGAGGCGCGAAAGCUGGGGGAGCAAACGGG
rnacentral:rRNA from 1 species